AUGAACAUCUGGAUUAAGGAGGUUAAGAAAAGCCUUGAAAAGCGACAAGGACCACAGCUUUCCUUAGCUCUGAACUGGCUGAUGAACUCCCAAUGCCCUUUUGCAGGGACCCCACCGCCUUGGUGUGCAGACCCGAAAGGCUGUGGAAGUUGUCUCGUGGCGCCAUCUGGUGGAAUUUCCGGACAGGAGCAGGAACUCCCUCUGGCAAAUAACACUACAAAUGGAUUCAUCUGCCCUCCUGCUGCCGCUUUGAGCCCAACGAAUCCUGAGAAAUCACUUUCUUCUGAUGAAGUGGCUAAAAUCUGGACGCUGUCAGCAAGAGAACAUACAAGCCAACCACAAGCGCCUGUGACAGGGUGUUCCUCUUCCUCUGAUAGUGGUUCUCAACCCAGCCACACCACCAGUUCAUCUGGGCAGCUUUAAAACAUGCAGCCUGGGUUCCAGUUCCAGAGCCAUGAGCCAGCCUUCCUCCAGACCCUGAGACCUGGAGCUUUCAGCCUGACGUCUGGCACAGCCUCAGACGCAGUGAUCAUGGAGCAUUCUCUGGGAAGAUGGGCCUCAAUUUUGUCCUGCCCUAGCCUGGAAAACACAGAGAACUCUGAAGAUAGCCUAGCCUGAGUUCACCAGAGCCAUGGGGAGGAGCCAGCCCAGGUGAGUGCCAUUUCUGCUUCUGGAAGGGGCCUCAGCUCACCCUGCUCUCACUCUGGAGUCCUGGGAGGCCACGGCCACAGCCAGCAGGCAUCCAUCUUAUCUGGGAAGGGGUAGCUCAAUCAGGGUCAACAGAUAAUCUCCCAGAACAGGACUCUGUCAAAGCCUCUAAAAAAAGCUGCUGGGGGGUUGAAUAUGGAGUUUUCUGUACCAACCUGGACCCCACCUGAGGGUCCUCACCUGAGAAUCCAGGCUUCAUUCUCAUUCAUGGAGCUGAUCUGCCUGAAAUGUCGUCAUAUUAGUCAGGGCUUUCCAGAGACACAGAGCCAACAGGAUGUGUGCAUAUACAGAAGGAG
rnacentral:lncRNA from 1 species